AUACGUAGGUGGCAAGCGUUGUCCGGAUUUACUGGGUGUAAAGGGCGAGUAGGCGGGAUUGCAAGUCAGAUGUGAAAUACCGGGGCUCAACUCCGGGGCUGCAUUUGAAACUGUAAUUCUUGAGUGAUGGAGAGGCAGGCGGAAUUCCCGGUGUAGCGGUGGAAUGCAUAGAGAUCGGGAGGAACACCAGUGGCGAAGGCGGCCUGCUGGACAUUAACUGACGCUGAGGAGCGAAAGUGUGGGGAGC
rnacentral:rRNA from 1 species